UACAAACUUAAUUUAAAUUGAACUAAAAUAAAAGAGACAAUUUACAAAUAAAAUAAGUCAGUGAGGUUAAAAUUAGGACGCGCGCCACGCAUGCGAAUGCACAGGGACUAGAAAUGGAAAUAAUCCAGGUCCCAAAACGCUGAGUUGUGGUGCGGAUCAAUUUGCAAAUAUGCACAAAUAAUAGAACCGAAUUUGAAAACAAAAUAAAGAAAAUGGAGUGUAAUUAAAUGCCUGUGCGAAGAAGAAGGACCUAGUGCGGAAUUAUCCCUCCCCGCUAAAAACACGCUUGAAGAAGAAGAAUAAGACGUCACCUCCUUUUGCCAAUUAAAACAAAAAGAAAAAAAAACACUUAAAACAAAUCUAAGCAUCGCAGCAAACAAAUGAGGGAAAAGGAAGGGAAAACCCUAGAUAUUUGCCCCUUUUCAAUCUGCCGUUCACUCACCACCAAUCCACCAUUGAAAUCGGUUGAUGGUAGCUCACGAUGAAAUCGUUCUAUUAGCGUCAAUUUCAAAGAAGAAGAUACGGCUUCCGAUGGCUUCUUUGAAGGUGUGUAUGGCAUGGAGAAGUCGUUCGUGGGCGUGGAGCGUGGCGCGCGUGGAAGCCGUUGCUGAUGGUGUUUGCGGCGCAUGGGAACGGCAGCUCGGCCUAGGGUUUGCAAUUUCUAAAAAUAGUUAAUGGGCUAAGUUUUGGGUUAGGUUUUGGGCUGUGUAAUGGGUUAGGAUUGGGUUUUAUUGAUUUGGGCUUAUUUGGACUUGUUAAAUGGAAUGCAAAUUUGGAUUUUAUUUAUUA